UACAGAGGGUGCGAGCGUUGUCCGGAAUCACUGGGCGUAAAGGGCGCGUAGGCGGCCUGUUAAGUAGGGGGUGAAAUCCUGUGGCUUAACUGCAGGGCUGCCUCCUAGACUGUUAGGCUCGAGCACGGUAGAGGCAGAUGGAAUUCCCGGUGUAGCGGUGGAAUGCGUAGAGAUCGGGAAGAACAUCGGUGGCGAAGGCGGUCUGCUGGGCCGUUGCUGACGCUGAGGCGCGACAGCGUGGGGAGCAAACAGG
rnacentral:rRNA from 1 species